UCAAACUUCACUCCAGAAUUUUCAAAUCACCGAACCCCAAAGUUAUGGGAAUUUGUUGCCAAGGGAGAAAGACAGUGGAAUUUCUGCUUUCCUGAUCUGCAGAAACUAUAAAACUGACCCAAUAGAUAUGGAUAUCGCCUCAUCAGCAAAGCAGCACUCUCGCAUAUUCUUUCCUGAAGGUAUAAUCCAACAUUAAAUUCAGGAUUUAUAUAGUUUCAAUAUGCUCCUCAUUGAUUCCAGAUUAGACUGUAUUGCCUGCCCUCAUGAGAUGUGUUUCUCCUCCAAGAA